GAUGAACGCUGGCGGCGUGCCUAAUACAUGCAAGUCGAACGCAUUGAGAGAAGUGCUUGCACUUUUCAAUUUGAGUGGCGAACGGGUGAGUAACACGUGGGCAACCUACCUGAUAGCGGGGGAUAACGAGUGGAAACAUUCGCUAAUACCGCAUAACAAUAGCGAAGGCAUCUUCUUUAUUUAAAAGGCGCUUUCAAGCGUCACUAUCAGAUGGGCCCGCGGUGCAUUAGUUAGUUGGUGGGGUGAAGUCCUAACAAGAGGAUGAUGCGUAGCCGUGUUGAGAGACCGGUCCGCCGAGUUGGGAGAGAGACACGGCCCGAGCUCCUACGGGAUGAUGCAGUAGGAAACCUUCCACAAUGGAAGACUGUCUGAUGGAGGAACGACGCGUGUGUGAGGAAGGCUUUUGGGUCAUAAAGCACUGUUGUAUGCGAAGAAAUGCUAGGCUAGGAAAUGAGCUUAGUUUGACAGUACCAUACAAGAAAGGGACGGCUAAAUACGUGCCAGCCGCCGCAGUAA
rnacentral:rRNA from 1 species